rnacentral:rRNA from 1 species
ACCAGCGACGAUAGCACGAUGAAAGCUCCAGUUCCCAAUGAAUCACUGAAGUUAAGUAAUGGUGCGCGUGGUUAGUAUCUGGCUGGGGGACCUUCUGGGCAAUCGGGUGCUGCUGGUU